GUGUCAGCCGCCGCGGUAAGACGGAGGGUGCAAGCGUUGUUCGGAUUGACUGGGCGUAAAGGGCGUGUAGGCGGUUCGUCAAGUCGGGUGUGAAAGCCUGGGGCUCAGCCUCAGAAGUGCAUCCGAAACUAGCGAGCUAGAGCGCGAUAGAGGAGGGUGGAAUUCCUGGUGUAGCGGUGAAAUGCGUAGAUAUCAGGAGGAACACCGGCGGCGAAGGCGGCCCUCUGGAUCGUUGCUGACGCUGAGACGCGAAAGCGUGGGGAGCAAACAGGAUUAGAUACCCUGGUAGUCCACGCCUUAAACGAUGGGUACUAGGUGUUCGGGGUGUUGACCCCCUGAGUGCCGCAGCUAACGCAUUAAGUACCCCGCCUGGGGACUACGGCCGCAAGGUUAAA
rnacentral:rRNA from 1 species